rnacentral:rRNA from 1 species
CCUGCGGAGGGAUCAUUACCGAGUUUACAACUCCCAAACCCCUGUGAACAUACCACUUGUUGCCUCGGCGGAUCAGCCCGCUCCCGGUAAAACGGGACGGCCCGCCAGAGGACCCCUAAACUCUGUUUCUAUAUGUAACUUCUGAGUAAAACCAUAAAUAAAUCAAAACUUUCAACAACGGAUCUCUUGGUUCUGGCAUCGAUGAAGAACGCAGCAAAAUGCGAUAAGUAAUGUGAAUUGCAGAAUUCAGUGAAUCAUCGAAUCUUUGAACGCACAUUGCGCCCGCCAGUAUUCUGGCGGGCAUGCCUGUUCGAGCGUCAUUUCAACCCUCAAGCACAGCUUGGUGUUGGGACUCGCGUUAAUUCGCGUUCCUCAAAUUGAUUGGCGGUCACGUCGAGCUUCCAUAGCGUAGUAGUAAAACCCUCGUUACUGGUAAUCGUCGCGGCCACGCCGUUAAACCCCAACUUCUGAAUGUUGACCUCGGAUCAGGUAGGAAUACCCGCUGAACUUAAGCAUAUCAAUA